rnacentral:rRNA from 1 species
ACUGAACGCUGGCGGCAUGCUUUACACAUGCAAGUCGAACGGUAGAGGGGGCAACCCCUUGAGAGUGGCGAACGGGUGAGUAAUGCAUCGGAACGUGCCCAGUCGUGGGGGAUAACGCAGCGAAAGCUGUGCUAAUACCGCAUACGAUCUCUGGAUGAAAGCGGGGGACCGAAGGGCCUCGCGCGAUUGGAGCGGCCGAUGUCAGAUUAGGUAGUUGGUGGGGUAAAGGCUCACCAAGCCAACGAUCUGUAGCUGGUCUGAGAGGACGACCAGCCACACUGGGACUGAGACACGGCCCAGAUUCCUACGGGAGGCAGCAGUGGGGAAUUUUGGACAAUGGGCGCAAGCCUGAUCCAGCAAUGCCGCGUGCAGGAAGAAGGCCUUCGGGUUGUAAACUGCUUUUGUACGGAACGAAAAGGUCUGGGUUAAUACCCUGGGCACAUGACGGUACCGUAAGAAUAAGCACCGGCUAACUACGUGCCAGCCGCCGCAGUAA